GGAAAAGAUCUUGAAAAAAGGGUGGCAAGUGCAGCUGGGUUGACAUUACUGGGACUCAUUCCUUGAUUAACAAACCAUGGAUAGCCAACAUUACCCCCAUUUGUCACGUUCUGAGUUUGUUCAAGGAAAAAGGUACUUGAGAUAUUGUUUAGGAUAGGAUCAAAUCCAGGUGGGGGGGAGGACAUGAAAAUAUUAUUAUGGUUUGAAACAGCUGGGGUAGUGGGGUACCUUAAUUGUUCCGUUGAGAGCUCCCUUGUGUAGUUGCUAUCACCAUGGUUGACAGCAGAGACAUUGGCUCUUGUGUUAGAAAGUUGUAGUCUGACAGGGACUGCAUGCUUUCCUUGGGGUUGAGACUCUCUGAUGUGACUUGAGGAGGCUCCUUGGGGCUUUGAAUUAUGGCUGUUAUCAUUGCUUUCUAUUGGCCGGAUUGUUUGGCCGGGAAAUCUCCUUCUAUUCCGGCCACUUGCAGUCUUCACCUGAGAAUGUUCAUUCCUGAUUUGCUUCCGAGGUGGUAAUGCUCUCAACCAAUCACCAUACUCAUUUUCACUCUCCGGAUCAGCUCCAUGAGGGCAUGGAGAUUUAGCUCAUAGCCUGUGGGAAGAGGAUCACGAGCAUCAAGAAGGAUUCUAACCCGGAGAAAACUGUAUGUGCCUUCUUCUCUUUCAAUGGGGUCGUCCAUCCCCAUGUACUCUCCAAACUUUUCAGCCAUCUCCCUGACAUUUUCCUCUUCGAACAUAUAGGGUGGAACACCCCUAACUUGCACCCAGAAAGCUAUCUGGC